UCAUUGUUGCGCUGUGUUCCAGCUAAGUGUCACAAGGAGAAACAGUCUGUUGCUUCUCUGAUGUCGUCAUCUGGUAAAAAGCACCCAACGAGUGAAUUCCCCCUUCCAGCUCAUUACAUUUUUGAGCCCUGCUCAGUAAUAACACCACACACAGCUUCAGAUUUAAGCAGCGAGAUCCCUACAGAUACAGACAGUUCUGCAGUUUUUGUGCACAUAGCAGAGUGUGGCAGCUCCCCAAGGGCCAGAUGCUUCCUGCAGAGUCUAAUAAUGCCCCAUCAAAUCGAGCAGGGUUACAUCAGAAGUAGAAUAUGAAUCGGGAUCUUCAUUUGUCAUUUAGUUCAUAUUUGGCGUGGCUAUAAAUAGGUCAUUUGGCUGCAAUUCCUAUUUCCCAAUUUUAUUUUUUUAACCUCAGCUUUGCUUUUUUAGACCACGAGCGUGUGAUGAGUCUAAAAAUGUCAGACUAGGAAUUGGAAAGAGCAGAUAACUGAGGCAUGGCUCAGUCAUGUCCCAGGCUGUUCACUGCCUACCCAUUGUGGGAAGAAAAGGGCCAAAUUAUCAGUCUUGGCACAGUCACUGAGGGUUGUUUUGAGUUCCUAGGAAUUUAACCCUAUGACUUUGACCUUUGACAAGAACACUUAAUUAUUUCCAGCUCUCCAACCAGGUCGUAAACUGGCCCUUUAGAAAAGUUUCCUGCUCUCCAUAAAAGAGAGCUCGCAGCUUCUGUCAUAGCAGAGUUUACAUUCUUUGAAUGGAGGGGCUUCUUGAAUCAGCAGGAUACUGUGGUUGGGUUAAAGAGUUCAGCAUUUGGUUUUGUUUUUAACAGGAGAUGAAUCCAUUCUCCAAAAUGCCAUCCUGUGUCCACACUUUGUAUCUCCCAAACUUUUCCUGUUGCUUAUUGUUUCCCCAGAUACUGGAAUUUGAGGUUGUUCCACUGUAAAACCAGAAUUUUGUCUACAGAAUCAGAAUAAAAACUAUUCCACCCUUUUCUUAUUUUCAGGAUAUAUAUAUGGAUAAUAAUCAAUUCUUUUUUAAUCCAAAUACCCAGCAGUGACUGCCUUGUGCUCCUGGGAGCCUUUGAGUUUUGGUAACAGCUUAUGUGUUCCCUCAGCUGACAGAUCGAGCUGCAUGUAAUGCGCUUUCUGUACAAGGUAAACACACAGACCUCGACAACCUGGAUGCAGCAGGGAGUAGAGGCUCUGCCUGGCAGCCUGGCGAGGCUCCUGCUUUCAGCAGCCCUCAGCUGAGCCAGUGGGUUUCGUGCUGACCUCCAUGCGCACGUCACUCCCAGUCAGGAGCUGCCGAAACCACCAAAGCCUCACUUAAAGGACAGUAAGGUUAAACAGAGAAUGUAAUUCUGCCUUCCCACUUAACAGCUUUACCAUAUAGCUCCUGCAAUCCUUAGACCUUUCAGCCAACAUCAUGAGGAAGCAUACUUUCCUUGGAAGACAGAUCUGUGAGAACAAGGGCCAAAAUGCUGAUGGGCAGAUGGAGCACAGUGAUGCCUGAGGCCAGCUGCAGGUGAUUUAGGUGGGAACGGGAGACCCAAACCUGUGUGGAUAUAAUCUAUCUUGUGGGGUUUCUUGUUUUGGGAAUGCAGUGGUGGUGCUGCAUUGUGGAGCUGCCCUGACUUUUCGUGGGUGCAGAGGGAUUAGUUCCUGCCCUGUGCUGCCCCCAUCCUCCUGUGGUCGUGCCAUAACUGUGCUCCCACCCAGAGCAGCUGGGGAGCCUGGUUUUGCUCUACCUCUGCAGCCACAGUCAGUGAUUACCAGGGAGGAAGGGUCCCUCCAGGAUAUGGAACAUAGCUCAGGGGGAAAGCAGGUCUCAACCCUUGUGACAGGCAAGCACCCAUCUACAGGGAUUUGCAUUAUCUGCUUAGGAGGCCAUCCAGCUCAGAUCCUGGGAUUGGAGACGGGGUUUUUUGGUUAGAAUUUUUUUCCAGAGCAAAUGCCUGCAGCUUUAUUAGGAAUUUGCUGAUUCUGUUCCUGACCUGUAAAAGCACUUGUCUGCCUAGAAGGUUUUCUCCUUUUCCUAACUAUCCUAAUUGGGCUAAUGAAAAAUGUUGCUUCUACCCAUAAGAUUUACCUCAGCUAGGAUGUACUCCAUCCCAUCCCCAGCAGAUAGCAAAGUGUGGUUCCCACUGCUGGUCUUGUAUUUUGAAGGACAGAGACAACAUGUGAGAGAUUCUCCAUCCCUGAUAAGCCUUGGAGAGCUAUAGCUGCAAGCAGUCUCAUACUGAGAUGUGUGCAUGCCUGCAUACGUGAGAGGAAAUACCUUAGAUUGCAAAGGCAGUCCUUCUAUUGCCAUUUCUUAGCUUUUAAGUCCUCAGCUUUGUAAGCCAAAUGAUGUCCUAUUAGCACGGACUUGCAUUUAGGUGUGCAAUAAAAUGCCUUCAAAUGUACAGAUUUAUUGACACAAUGAGUGCAUUUUUUUCUCCCUGAAAUGGAAGGGGUUAGAGGAACUGCAGAUUCAAAUGUAUUUCAUAGACCUGUGUUAUUCUGUUCUCUGUUUUAUUCUUUUUCAUCCUUGUAAUUUUUAUAUAGCUGAUAUGACCUUCUAUUUUUAAUGGGGCUUUCCUUUGCAACAUGCAGCUGAGAUGUAUAAAUGUUUUUAUCAGAAAUGAUUCCACGUGAUCCAUCAGGCCAUUCAGACUUAACCAGUACUUUGCCUUGUACUUUGAAUAACAACUUUUCACAUCAAUGUCAUUACAAAGGAUAUACAGCCUGAGGAUUCCUGUUAGAAAUUUUUAGGGAAAUCAUUCUGAAUAAGGAACACACUCAGACCUACUGCUCUUUUCAGCCAUUUUUUACAGACAAUCUACAAAUUCAGUGAGAGAAUGAGUUCGUGGACUUCAUUACAUGAAACUGUAGCACUGUUAAGUUGAAUCUAAACAAAAGAGGAGGAGGAAGUCAAAAUCCAGUUUGUCAUUGUCCUUGCUAAAAGAUAUGUACAAAAGCAGUGGUAGCAAAGGUUACCAUGGUGUUUCUUAUCAGCCCUUGCAGAGGGAGAUGAAGAAAAGAUAUUUCUGAUAAUACUUAAAGUUACUAUUUUUUAGAUCCAAUAUGUUCAUAACAUAAUAUCCAUUCUUCCGACUGCACAUGGGACAAAUCCCUAAGAGCCAAUCCAUUUGUUUUGCUCAUGGGGAGCUGCUGCUUUACACUUUGGAUUUCAUAGCAGCUUGACAAUAUCUUAGCUAUUAUCCUUUUAAAUUAACUUUACUGUGCUCAGGGAUUAUUUUGUUGUUGUUGCUGUUAGCUGGGGAUUUGGAGGACUUCUGUGGUCAGAAGCUGUGACAUAGGUCUAAGUACCUGCAUUGCUCCCCCUCCCCAGAGCCUGGGGGAGAGCAGCUGAACCUGCCCUGCCCUGCUGCUCUCCUGGGUGAGUAGUCAUGGAGGGCAACUGAGGCUGCAGGAGGUGUGGGGCUUGGAAAAGCAGAAGGAUCCCAUUUUCUUUACAGUAUGACAGAGAAAUGCAGCAGGCCAAGGUCCUAGGUAUGUCCUGGUGUGCUGCACCAAACACUGACCUCCUGUAGCUUGGCUCUAGAUUUUCAAAACAGUUUUCUGAGUGGCUCGGGGGGGUGGGGGGAUUUCAGCAACACCUCAAAGCAGUGUUGUGUGUUUAUCUCCUCCAAAACAGCCCUCAGCUUGUGCAGAGGAGAGGGGAGCCCUGUGAGAAACACGUGUAUCUUUAAACCCUCCAACAGGGGCCAGAUAUUCCAUUUGCUUAGUGUGUCAUUGGGCUGGGCAUGCCUGUACUUCUAAGCCCUGGAGGACAGGAAAAUGCUACUUCCCUGCCCUGGGUAGUUGCAGAACACAGUUUUUAAUGGUUUUCAGAUAUUUAUCAGAGCACUAUAAGGAACUUCCUGACUUUCCAGGGAAACAUUUAGUGCACCUUUUCUUAAACUGCCAGGUAAUGAUGAUGACCACAAUUUUCAAAGAAAACUCUUUGCUAGGCACUGAAGGAGGAGGUGGUUUCCAGAGGCUGGAAGCACCGCAAAUCUCCCCAUGAAGUUGUAGGUAACUAGUGCAGGGAGCAGCAGUGCCAAGCAGCCCAGCAGGGAGGCAGCUUUGUGUUCCGUCUGCAGGUGUUGUUGAGAACCCCAUUGCCCUGGGUUGGCCUAAAGAAAGAAUCACAGCAGAACCUUUGGAAAUUAGUGGAGUGGUAAGCUUCCUUGUCAGUCUAGCAGCAAGAUCCUCUCCUUGCUGUGUUCUAUGACAAAGACAGAGGAUCAACACUCUGGGCUGAGAAUGAUACAAAAGAAGCCCUUAAAAGUUCCGCAGUGCCUGGUUUCAGGCCCUUAGCAACGGCUUGCUUCAAGCUGUAAAAAAGGAGUUUAAACAUUCCCUAGUUAACCUCUUUUCUUUGUCCGGAGCCUUCUCAUGUCUCCAGCUGCUGUAUUCAUGUGCUUCCUCAGCUGGAAGGGAGCCAGGCACAGGGCAAGGGAGUUUGUAAGCUUAGAGAUUCUUUUUUACAACUUUUGGAGUGCAGAGUGAAAGCAUUAGAGAAAAGCAGCAGCAGCCCUUCCCUGGACUGUUUUGCCCCUGUUUUGUAUGGUCUUACCCCAAAAGCUGAUGAUUACUAUAUGGAUUGCCAGGCUGGUGUUUUUCCAUUCCUAGUGGAGGGAUGAAGUUCUGGCUGGCCUACUUUAUCACAACUAUCAAUAAAAGCAACAGAUGAAUUGGAAGUCCUUGAACUCUGAAUUGUCUAAGGUGUGACUCUUACAUGGAGUUUUAUUGGUGUGCUACGAUAUAUGUUAUAUAUCUCUGAUCAUAAACAGAGUUUAGAUAAAUACAGCUGAGACAACCGAUAAUGGCCAGGAGUAUAAAAACCCACAGUUGUUCAUUGUAAUUUAAAGGAGGAAGUGUUGUCUUUUUUCUAAUGCUAACAACUUUCCCGGGCAGAACAACCAGCCUUUCUAAGAGUAUAAAUGUGACUUUCACUGUAUAAAUCUGUGUCUCCCCUACUUUGUGUAUUAAACUGUGUGUAAAAGACCACUCAUUUCUAUACUGCACAGAUAUGCCUAACCUCUUUGAAGCUGAUUGAAGGAAGGAUUUCACUAGUUAUUUUUCAGGCAGUUUUUGGCUAGUAGGUGCACAAAACAUUCAGAGUACACAAGACCCUUCCUCCUCUCCCUUGCUUGAGAGCAAGAUGGGCUUGAUGUUGUAGAAAAACAGGUUUUCACCCUGUAAGCAAGCUGUGGUGCUGUUCCCAUGAGCAUGGUUUCAAGAAGCAAUUAUCUUUCUGAUGGCUUUUUUUCGGAGACUCCAUCCAAAAGGACUUCAAUUUUUGUUUGUAAAGAAAUAUUCCUCUUCUUUUUUGUAACAGAAGGAAUCACAUAAGGUAGCUAAUGCUGGACUAGAUGUAGGUGAUGCUGCUUCCCAGGGAGCUCAGAGUAAAGCUAUUCAUAAGGCUGAUGGCAAGUCAGAAGCUCUCCUUAAGGCAGCAGAAUGAGAUUUUUCCAUUGCAUUAUCAGUGCUUGAUGGGAAAUUUGUCUAAUGAGGUAAGAAUCUGGACAUCUGGAAGAGAUGGAAACAGUAAACUGAAUUAGAAAACUUUGGGUAUCACAUGAGGUAACACCUAUGGGAGCAGCAGGGAAGCUCCUGGGAAAGGUUUAUUUCAAAGGAACGUGGAGAAACAGAGGCCUUGCUUGUGGAUGGCAAUCCCUCACCAUCACCACCAAUGGCUUCUGUAAAAAGGACUCCGUGAAAAAAGGCUGUCAUGUUUAAACAUUUUGCUGGCAGAUCACACGGAGUUUUCUGUGUUCCUGCUUUCAGCAGCUGAGGAGGACAAGUACAAUAGACCCAUCCUUCACCUCUCAAGCAUUUUACCUGAUAGCAUUUUUCUCUGUUUUCCUCAGUGACAGCGGUCUUGGAGGAAUCUGCCCCAGAGAAGAGGUCUGGGUGGGAGAAGAGGGGUUAACUAUGGGGGAGGGUAUAGGAUAUUCUCUGAAGCCAAGGUUGUGAUCCUUCGCCCUGUCACAUCUCCUGCCUUCUCCCCCAUAGCUCUGCUGUAUGUUUUUAUGCUUCCAUUACCCUGUAAGCUCACAAACCAGCCUUUCACUGGGGAAUGUGAACAGAUGGACUCCUCCAGUGUCUCCUCUGGCUUCUGCAAAGCCCCUGUAUUCAAUGCUGUAGUGUCAUAUGAAGUAGGAUCAAAUUAAUUUUUUUAAGAAUUCUGCAACAGGGAGGAUGGGGCCAUUUAAAUAUCACGUGUUGGCUCCCUGCCUCAUGGACCUAAGGACUGAUUACAGUGGGACUGGUUUUGGUUUAAACAGAUUAUCUUACAAAGUUGUUGGGUUUUUUUAGUAUAUAUUUGAUAAGGGGAAAAAAUUAAACUUUGAGUAAUUAGAUUGAAUAAAUUCAAAGCAUGAUUAAUUCAAAGCACAAAUCUGAAGUUGAAACAUCCCUCCCCAUCCCAACAAAAGAGAAUAUCUGGAAUUUUAGACUGGAAGGUCACUGGUGGGUGACAAAGGAGACUUUUGUUCUGCCCUUGGCCACACUUCUUGCUUGCAGGCUGCCCCUCCUCAGGCCAGCCUCUGUCACCCUGCCUAAAAAGGGAGUGUAAUGAUAUCGACCUAUUUGGCAAAGCGUUUUGGGGUCUCUCUGUGAAAGAGACGGGGGUGAGCUGCCUUUGCAAACUUUGAGUGUUUCACGUUGGUAUGCUCCUUCAGCUUGGAAAACGAAACGUGCUAAAUUUGGGCAGGUUUUAGUGUUUGUGAUUCAUUCCCAGGGAAUUCCAGACUUCUUUAAGCUCUUCCCUUAUUUGUAGGAAUUUGCUGACUGGUUUACUAAACAGGCUGUUCUGAGGCUGUUUGCUGCACUUGACACCAUUUAUCCAUCCGUAGGACUGAGUCACGCACCAUGAAGCCUUACACAAUUAAGAUAUGGUGAACAGCAGCAAAACCCAGCCCCGAGCACAACCCACAGCUUGGAGUGGUGGGGCGACAGCUCCACCUCCCCACGCCUGGGCUCUGUCGGGUGUGUGAGUCAGGGCUGGCUGAGCAGGCAGCAGUGGGACUUCUGGCUUGAUAACAGGGCAGGACAAAGAGGAGCUGUUAUCUGCUGUGCACGCACAAGUACUCUCAGUGCAGACAGGCUAUCUGGCACGUAAACUCAUAAGCUAAGCACUACAUGCAAAAGGUAACUGUAAUAAAAACAUACUGAGAGCAUUUUGUUUAUGGUUUCUUCCUCGACAAAAUAAACCGCAAACUUGCGGCAGCUCUUUUCCUUAGUAACUUUCCUUUCUCCUAUAGUUCCUAUUUUAAUAAUAUCUCUAAUCCAUAAUCUGAAAAAACCACCGAAUUUUCAGAAUACGCCUCAUUAUUUUGAAGCCUCCUCAGGGAACAGAAAUGCAGUUUCAACCUGCUCAUGCUUUCUCAUAAAUUGAUUUCAAACCUUGCACGUGAACACACUGUGAUUUCAACUGGUACCCAGAGUGACAUCUUCCAUGAAACCCCACAGCUGUCCCUUAAUGGGAGAUUAGUGCUUUAACAAGAUGGUUUUUUAUUACUGUUGUUGUUUGCUCACUAAUGAAACAGGCUUGUGCUGUGUGCUAUCAAUUACAUCCCAAAUCAUGUAAUGUAAUGACUCAGGACUUUUUUUUUUUAAAAGAAAAUGUAGCUGCGAGUUUUAUUCAGUCUGGUUAUUUCAUGGCUUCAGAAUUUGUUGUCCAUGUUCCUCAUUACCGCAGCUGUAGAUAAAAACUUGAAAAUCUGAAUCUCUUAAGGCUCAGGAAUGUGACAGAAAAUAGCCCCCAAAAGGUCACACGCAGUUUGGUUCUGUGGGAGAGGAGAAGGUGAGGAGGAGGAGAUACAAAACUGGCACAGGAUAUUUGCAGCUAACACUGCUGUCUCAGUGGGGCUGCUGGCACCAUGUGGCUCUUGGGGCUCUUUGGAAAGUUUUCUGCUGUUUAGCCUCAGAAUCUGGAUUCUUCCAGCCUUGUUUAGUCUUUCUGGGCUCUUUUAAAGGUCAGCUGAGAGAAAACAUGAAUUAGCUCUUCCAGAGGGAGCUGCUGCUCCUCUCUCCCUGUUUAGUAAUGUAGAAGAAGUGUCUAAAGCAUGGUGUUGUGAGAGAAAUUAGCUGCUUCUGCUUUCUCCCCUUCCCCUGUAGUGAAUUUGGUUCCCUGAAUGAAUGAGACAGAUUUAGUACCAAUUUUAUUCCCAAUAGGCAACCUAAAAAUACCUCCAACUCCACACACAUCCCUUGUAGUCCACAGCUUUUUCUGGAGCUGAGGCAAAACAGAGCUGAUGUCAUGGGCUAUUUUUAUACAGCGAUGUCUAAAAUAUUUAUUUUUGUAAUGGCAAAAGAGUGCACUGUACUCUUUGGUAAAUAAUUUCAAUGUUAUUGUUUCCAUUUACGUAAAUUGACAAAUAGCUGAAAUUAGAUGGAGCAAGUUUGGGGUUUUUUUGCAAAUUAUUUUCAAGUUCUUGAGCACCUAUUCCACUCCUGUCUUCUUUCCCUGAGUCUCUUCCAACAGCAAACACCAAAGUAACACCUGCCAGGGGUGGGUCAAGCUCUCAAGACAGUGGCCUUUGGUCUCCAAAUAAGAGCAGUAUUAUUAAACCAUCUGCCUCUGGAGUACAAAUAAUUUUUCCAAACCUGCACCAUUCUUGCACAUCUGUGGAAAAGAAGUCACUGACAACAGCUGCUGAAACCCUUGGUAGUGACCAAGACGAGUGUGCUGUACUUGCUUCAGACAUCACUGGGGAGUCUGCCUACGUUCCCCAGCUGCUGUGAG